rnacentral:rRNA from 1 species
UACGUAGGCAGCAAGCGUUGUUCGGAGUUACUGGGCGUAAAGGGUGUGUAGGCGGUUCUUUAAGUUUGGUGUGAAAUCUCCCGGCUCAACCGGGAGGGUGCGUCGAAUACUGAGGAACUAGAGUGUGGGAGAGGAAGUGGAAUUCCUGGUGUAGCGGUGAAAUGCGUAGAUAUCAGGAGGAACACCGGUGGUGUAGACGGCUUCUGGACCAUAACUGACGCUGAGACACGAAAGCGUGGGUAGCAAACAGG